rnacentral:lncRNA from 1 species
UAAGUAUGUAUGUAUCUGGUUUUUUUUCAGAGCUUGAAUAUGCACUGGCAUUCUCUUAGCAACAUUUAUAAAUACUUUUAGAGAGGGAAAAGAAACACAUACAUACUAUAGAAUUGUUAGCAAGCUGGUACAUAUUGGAGUUGGGGCUUGGACAGAAAGUGAGUACUUAAAUCUGUUCCGAUUCUUUCUCCUCAGUUUUUGGAUGACAUACCACCUGUCUGCUGGCUUAGAGUUCUGCGAAAUAAUUUCUCUGGAUUGCAUGAAUGAAGCACAGGACCAUUCACACAGAAGAGGGCGCAGAUUGGAAAACGCUGCAAGUUGCUGGAAUAACUGAAGAAAUAAUGUAAGAAAUACACAGUUAUUCAUAGAGGCUCUUCUUGUGGCCACAAUCUUCUUACACAGUAAGCAUUUUUAUCUCUUCUUUUUAAUCAUCUGAUGAUCAAGUAAUUUAAAUAUAAAUGGAAUGAUUUAUGUUCUGUGUUUUUCCAGCUAAAGUUUCCUUUCCAAUUACUCACAAUUUUCAUCUCUCUUCACUUCAAGG